ensembl:lncRNA
CGCAAAGUUCAAGGGGGCCGAAUACUUUCGCAAGGCACUGUACAUGUAAAAAGAGGGAUGGAUAUCACUCCUCUAGCUUGCAGGGGCAGUAUUCUUUCCUUCUCUGCCAGACUGGUCAGCAGCAUGAGAGACAGAGUUCAUGUGUUGUCAUGUGUUGCUGCCAUGCUGUGUUGUUGUCUUAGGUCUCUCUUUAUGAAAUGUUGUGGUGUCUCUUGUUGUGAUGUGUGUUUUGUACUACAGUUUUAUUUUUUAUUCCAGCGCCAGUCCCAGGAGAAAGCCUUUUGUCUCUUGGUAGGCCGGCAUUGUAAAUCAGAAUUUGUUCUUAACAGACUUGCCUAGUUUUCAAUAAAAGUUCAUUAAAAAAAUUAAAAAACAAUCCCAGCGUUCAGAUCAAUUAGGUGGCCAUUCAAUGUGACGUAACCCAAGACAAAGCGGUCCUGUUUUCCGGGUGAGGUUAAAGCACGGGUGAGCAGGCAAUAACACAAGGAGGACACCAAAUCCAGUCCAGUUAUCUGGCUUGUGUCCGACUGUUUCCUAGGAGAAGAGAGGAGGAACAUAGAGGAGACAUUUCGUUUUUAUUCCUCACUAUUAACAUUAAAACAUUUUCAUCAUAGGCAGAGCUAGAACCACAGUGUGUGGUUGAACAUAGAUACUAAUCUGCCGUCCUGAGCUUCCAAAGUCAUGACAGUUCUCUGAUGUGACAGGCUAGAGAGACUACUGUCAGUCUGGAUUUCCACCACAGGCCAG